UACGUAGGGUGCGAGCGUUGUCCGGAAUUAUUGGGCGUAAAGAGCUCGUAGGCGGUUUGUUGCGUCGGCCGUGAAAACCUGCAGCUUAACUGUGGGCCUGCGGCCGAUACGGGCAGACUUGAGUUCGGUAGGGGAGACUGGAAUUCCUGGUGUAGCGGUGAAAUGCGCAGAUAUCAGGAGGAACACCGGUGGCGAAGGCGGGUCUCUGGGCCUUACCUGACGCUGAGGAGCGAAAGCAUGGGGAGCAAACAGG
rnacentral:rRNA from 1 species